UACGUAGGGGGCAAGCGUUAUUCGGAAUUAUUGGGCGUAAAGGGCGCGUAGGCGGCCUGGCAAGUGGAAGGUGAAAUCCCUCGGCUUAACCGAGGAACUGCCCUCCAAACUGCUUGGCUUGAGUCCGGGAGAGGUGAGUGGAAUUCCCAGUGUAGCGGUGAAAUGCGUAGAUAUUGGGAGGAACACCAGUGGCGAAGGCGGCUCACUGGACCGGAACUGACGCUGAGGCGCGAAAGCGUGGGGAGCAAACGGG
rnacentral:rRNA from 1 species